rnacentral:misc_RNA from 1 species
ACCGAGGAAGGUGAUUAUCAGACCAAGCUGCGUAAUCUAAGGCGAUUCUUGGAGCAAGGAAACAAGGCAAAAGUAACGUUAUGGUUCAGAGGUCGUGAGAUGGCACAUCAGGAUCUGGGCGUACGGCUUCUCAAACGAAUAGAAGCGGACUUGGAAGAAUUCUCCAAGGUUGAACAGUUUCCCAAGUUGGAAGGGAGGCGCCUAUCGAUGGUGCUAUCGCCCAAAAAAUAAGCUCAUAAGAAAUAAGCCCACAAAAAACUGCGCCAAGAUACUACCAUUCCGAAUAAAUCACCGCGAUGAGCAUAUCUCGACCUAUGCCA